ACUGGGAUAACCCUGGGAAACUGGGGAUAAUACCGGAUAGGCAAUCUUCCUGGAAUGGUUUUUUGUUUAAAUGUUUUUCGCCUAAGGAUGGGUCUGCGGCCGAUUAGGUAGUUGGUUAGGUAACGGCUUACCAAGCCAUUGAUCGGUACGGGUUGUGAGAGCAAGAGCCCGGAGAUGGAACCUGAGACAAGGUUCCAGGCCCUACGGGGUGCAGCAGGCGCGAAACCUCCGCAAUGUGAGAAAUCGCGACGGGGGGAUCCCAAGUGCCAUUCUUAACGGGAUGGCUUUUCAUUAGUGUAAAGAGCUUUUGGAAUAAGGGCUGGGCAAGACCGGUGCCAGCCGCCGCGGUAACACCGGCAGCUCUAGUGGUAGCAGUUUUUAUUGGGCCUAAAGCGUCCGUAGCCGGUUUAAUAAGUCUCUGGUGAAAUCCUGUAGCUUAACUGUGGGAAUUGCUGGAGAUACUAUUAGACUUGAGACCGGGAGAGGUUAGAGGUACUCCCAGGGUAGAGGUGAAAUUCUGUAAUCCUGGGAGGACCGCCUGUUGCGAAGGCGUCUAACUGGAACGGUUCUGACGGUGAGGG
rnacentral:rRNA from 1 species